rnacentral:tRNA from 1 species
UAAAUCUAAGGAUUUAAGUUAAAUCAAACUAGCAACCUUCAAAGUUGCAAAUAAGUUCAUAAACUUAAG